UACGUAGGGUGCGAGCGUUAAUCGGAAUUACUGGGCGUAAAGCGUGCGUAGACGGUUUCGUAAGUCGGGUGUGAAAUCCCCGGGCUCAACCUGGGAACUGCAUCUGUGACUGCAUUGCUGGAGUGCGGCAGAGGGGGAUGGAAUUCCGCGUGUAGCAGUGAAAUGCGUAGAUAUGCGGAGGAACACCGAUGGCGAAGGCAAUCCCCUGGGCCUGCACUGACGCUCAUGCACGAAAGCGUGGGGAGCAAACAGG
rnacentral:rRNA from 1 species